AGAGUUUGAUCCUGGCUCAGGAUGAACGCUAGCGGCAGGCUUAACACAUGCAAGUCGAGGGGUAACAGGAGUAGCUUGCUACUCGCUGACGACCGGCGCACGGGUGCGUAACGCGUAUGUAACUUGCCCCUAACUGGAAGAUAGCCCCGAGAAAUCGGGAUUAAUAUUCCAUAAUACCACGAAUUCGCAUGUUUUUGUGGUUAAAGCUCCGGCGGUUAGGGAUAGGCAUGCGUGACAUUAGCUAGUUGGUAAGGUAAUGGCUUACCAAGGCUACGAUGUCUAGGGGGCCUGAGAGGGUUAUCCCCCACACUGGUACUGAGACACGGACCAGACUCCUACGGGAGGCAGCAGUGAGGAAUAUUGCGCAAUGGACGAAAGUCUGACGCAGCCAUGCCGCGUGCAGGAGGACGGCCCUACGGGUUGUAAACUGCUUUUAUUUAGGAAGAAACCCUUCUACGUGUAGAAGGCUGACGGUACUAAAAGAAUAAGGACCGGCUAACUCCGUGCCAGCAGCCGCGGUAAUACGGAGGGUCCAAGCGUUAUCCGGAUUCAUUGGGUUUAAAGGGUUCGUAGGCGGGGUACUAAGUCAGUGGUGAAAUCCUGCAGCUUAACUGUAGAACUGCCAUUGAUACUGGUACUCUUGAAUCUGGCUGAAGUGGGCGGAAUAUGUCAUGUAGCGGUGAAAUGCUUAGAUAUGACAUAGAACACCAAUUGCGAAGGCAGCUCACUAACCAGUAUUGACGCUAAGGAACGAAAGCGCGGGGGAGCGAACAGGAUUAGAUACCUGGUAGUCACGCUGUAAACGAUGAUCACUCGACAUUGGCGAUAAACUGUCAGUGUCCAAGCGAAAGUGUUAAGUGAUCCACCUGGGGAGUACGGUCGCAAGAUUGAAACUCAAAGGAAUUGACGGGGGCCCGCACAAGCGGUGGAGCAUGUGGUUUAAUUCGAUGAUACGCGAGGAACCUUACCAGGGCUUAAAUGCAAGUUGACAGUUUGGGAAACCAGACUUUCUUCGGACAAUUUGCAAGGUGCUGCAUGGCCGUCGUCAGCUCGUGCCGUGAGGUGUCGGGUUAAGUCCCAUAACGAGCGCAACCCCUAUCCUUAGUUGCUAGCAGGUAAUGCUGAGGGCUCUAAGGAAACUGCCCGCGUAAGCG
rnacentral:rRNA from 1 species